rnacentral:rRNA from 1 species
UACGUAGGGACCAAGCGUUGUUCGGAUUUAUUGGGUUUAAAGGGUGCGUAGGCGGCCCUGUAAGUCAGUGCUGAAAUAUCCCGGCUUAACUGGGAGGGUGGCAUUGAUACUGUGGGGCUAGAGUACAGAUGAGGUAGGCGGAAUUGACGGUGUAGCGGUGAAAUGCUUAGAUAUCGUCAAGAACACCUAUAGCGAAGGCAGCUUACUAGGCUGUAACUGACGCUGAGGCACGAAAGUGUGGGGAUCAAACAGG